ACAAGGGAAAAAAAAGGAAUAUAAGAAAGCAACUGUGAAUCUGAGGCUUCAUUUUGAGUUUUCCCCCAAAACAAAAAGGGGAAAACUAAAAGCCUGAUAGGUUACCUUUUUCUAACAAGGAACAACUGUCUCUACUUCGGGUUGCAUGCUUUCUCAAGUUUGAGUUUAGACAGACCACUCUUUUGUGAAUCUUUGCAUAAAGGGUCAUUGAAUAAUGGUCAGAGGCAUUGUCUUUGAAUGUUUUACAGAUAUGCUGAGGUUUGUACUUAGAACUUCUCAUUUUACAUUCAGCCUUUCAGUGAAAGGCGAACGUGAAGCUGACAUUUUAUAAUGGCAAAACUUAGGGGGCCAGAGCUAUAAGACAUGUUCAGAAGACAGGGAUAUGUGUCUUUUUUUCUCUUGUAUUGCUCAUGGUACCUAGCACAAAGUUGGAGAUGUGAUAGACUCUUUAAUACAGGUAUUCUUAUAUGGUUUACCAUGGCAAAAUCAACUUUCAAUUUUGUUUGGUUUUCAGAGUACUUUUCAUGAUAAAAAGGUUCAUUUGUUUUACUCUCAGAGCAUGCUCUGAGCUGAGAAUUAUAAACUAAAGGAGAAAAUAAUGAUGAGCAAAUAAUUGCCCAGGCUCCUAUGGAGAGUUCUCAGUAGAGCUGGAUUUGGUAACUUGAUGAGUUGUCACUGGCAAAUUUAGCAUUCACAUGUCAGACCUAGAAUAAUGCUAGAUGCUUAUCCCUCUCGUAUGGGAGCAGCCAGGAAGUCAGAAGAGGACCACAGACAGAGCGUUUGUUGGUGACAAGGGCUUUCAUAUCUUCAGAACUUGGCAAUAAGUAUUUUUAAAUAAUGGGAAGAAUGAAUUAUUUGAUUUCUGUGAAUUUAAAUUGCAAAAAUGAAAUAUGUGGGAGAAAACAGGUGCCUCCAUCUUUAACUGGAAUUGACAAAGCAGCAUUCACAAAGUGGCAACAAUUUCCUUUGACAUUUAUGAUUGCCCUAAUGCUGUUAAUCAGUGUGAGAUUAUUAUUUUUCCUUUCACAAAUGGAGAAACUGAGGUUCUGAGGGGUGAAGUGAGCUUACCCCAUUCCACAAAACUUGUAACUGCUGAUUCCCAGUUCUUUGUUCAUUUUAUUAGGCCAUGGAUGUUUCCUUAAAUAUAUUUCUCUGGGAAUAAAAUUCUCUUACAGAUCUUCUAGAAAUGGGGAUCUUGGCUUUCUGAAAUGAAAUUAUGUAUGGGCCAGAAGCCAGGAGAUGGAACGUGUGCUUUCUUACGUGUUUUCCUUCCAGCUUCCUUAGUCACGAUUCUUCAUUAUAACUUUGGUAUCUCUGAUAUUGAGUUAACUUUGACGAUGGUAUGGAUGAUGGUGGAUGGGUGGUACAUACAACUUUGAAGCACAUGAUGACUCUCUGGCCACCUACUUUAUUCUCGUAUUUCCCAAGAGGAGGUAAAUACUUCAUUUUAGAGAAACUGGACUCUAACCUAAAGUGGCCGAGAAGUCUAACCUGCAUUGUAAUCUUCAUCAAAUGAAAACACUUUGUUCUUAAAAGUACACUUGUUCCUUCUUCUUGCCCUUGACAAUUUUCUGUUUGAAGCAGCAAGGAACAGAGGAAAGAUAACAUAGUUUAUUCUAUGGAUUUCUACCAGUUCAAUUUUUAAAGUGUUAGCCUCUUAAAAUAAAUGUUUUCAUAAAAGAUCAUGAAGAAACUCGGAUUUUUGUCACUCCAUCAAUAUGUAGGAGGAGGGUAUGUCUGGGUAAGAGCCAAACAAUUAAGGUGUUACUGACCAGAAGUCUCUUGGUUUGCUGUCAUAAAAUGUCACAACUAUCAGCAACCACAAAAUCUUCAAUAAAUGGCACUGCAGACAGAAAUUUUUCUUAACAGUCUGGGUUUGUGAAUUCUCUUUUUUCCUUUCUGGUUUCCCUCUGUAGAUGUCUCUUUCUUCCUUUGUGCUUGGUCUCUCUGUUUCUCUUACUAACAACACACAUAUUUCUCCAUCUCUGUAUCAUCAUCUUCUAUUAGUUUUUCACAAGUGUAUUUCUGUGACUAAAAGGAUCAACAGAUGCUGACUUCAAUAUUGUGAAGCAUCCAGAAAAAGAACAAUUAAUUUAUAACAAACCUGCUUUGCUCUAACACUGACAGCUUUUGAAAAUGUAUACUGUAUGUGAGAUCCACAUCUCAUUUUGUUUUCAUUUAGAUGGUCAACAGCAUUUAACUCGAAGUUAGGUUUAAAUUCCCCCCAUGAGACUUGUCAGUUUUUGUCAGAAAUAAAACCAAUGAAUAUUUCCAUUUUAAAUAUUUAAAAGACCUUUUAAAUAAUGUGUUGAUAUUUUUGCUUGCAUUUUUGUUAUUAUCUUAACACUCUCUAUUGCUAUCUGCUUCAAUAUAGGAAAAAUGCAGUUACAAAUGUUUCCUGGUUAUAGUUAUUAAGAAUUAUCCCUAAUCUUAGGCUAGAUAUAUACAGAAGAUAAUCGUGUUCUAGAGUGUUCCUGCUGAAUAAAGUUGCCACUUAAUAAGAAACAGAUAUCAUGACUAGGUUGCCCUUGGAACUAACUGUCCAAGCGUGAACAAAUAUAUAUACUACAUCACACAUACACUCACAGUGCACAACACACUUAUACACUUCUCACAUACUCGCCUUUCUUUUACAACUUUCUGGCUCAGCAUGCCCAUGUCAUGAGCUAAUUCUGACCUAACAGAGAGGCUGUGCAGUCUUUCAGCUAGUGGAGGCUGAGAAAAUUGUGCAGCAAUAGGUCCAGUCCCUGGAAGAUGAAGUUAGUUAGCAUUUGGUGCCCAGCCAGCAGCAAUGUGACUUAGGCUUUUCGUCCUAGUAGGUAUGGAGUUCUGCUCUGAGCAACAAUUCAUUUAUUUUGUGCCAAUAUUCUGACUAGCUCAUUCUAGAAUCUUCUAUUUUGGUCAGAAUCUGUCCUAUAUUCUUGGCUGUGGUUCAAUUCUUUCAAUCAAAGAUCUGCCUAAUCCUGUUUUCCCAUAGCUAAUGUUGACAGGGUUCACCACGCCAUCUUCAUCUCCGCCCCCACUUCUCAUCUUCAGCCCAAACCAAUCUUCAUCUCUAUCUUCAUCUUUACUUCCAUCCACACAGCAAUCUUCAACUCCAUCUACCAAUACCAGUCUUAAGCUCCUGUGCCCCACCAUCCUCAGUCAUAGCAGUGCUCGAUGUGAUAACCUAAUCAAAAAUUUCAAACCAAACUGCCCAGCAUUCAUGGUUGUAAAGGACAUGUAGAAUCAGUCAACUGAUAGAUACAAAGUAACACUGAAACUGAUUGAGCAAUAAUCAGAAAGUUGGCGCUGCAAUAGCUUCCUCAGUUGUACCUCUCUGUCCACCGCCCAGCUCUUUCCUGUUGCUUCCAGUUCCUCUCACUUGUACUUCUUUAUUAACUAUUUGUUAACAUAACUUUCUAUGGUUUUCUUUCACCUAAGACCCAAACCUCUUCUCCUGGCUUGCAUUUCCACGACUCCCUGCCCAAGCCUGAGGUUGCACAAGAAACAUAUCUCUAAUUAAUGUCCCCUGUUCCAGGAAUUUGACUCAUUGGGCCUGCAAAAGAUUUUCGUGACAAAUGAAAUAUUUUUCUAAACCAAGGACUUGGGGAUAACUUCAGGGUCAAAGACAUCUUAUCAUAUUUAAGAACAGCCACAGGAUGUCUAGGAGCCAGCAGAGGGGCCAGAUAUGCUGCAGUUUAUGCUGUAAAAGGAAGCCUGCCGCCGUGAGUGGUCCAGUGGGAGCUCUUGCUUUGUGUCCUCAGCCUUUCACCUUUCCAUCUGAUGACUUGCUCUGAAUCUUCACUUCCUGGGCAGGUGAGCUGAGUCCUAGAAAGCACAGCUCACAGGAACUCUGCUUCAGAGUUGACAGAGAUUUAAUUUUCAGGACUAAAUUUCUCUGAGAGAAGGUUAGCAACACUCUGGCUUUGUCUUAAUAAGCUGUAGUUUGUGAUGCAAUUGCUGGAUAAGACAUGAACCAUAUUAGAACAGAAUGGCAAUAAAAAUCACCACAAAAUGAGAAGGAGAGUAACAAUUACAUUUUAUUAUGUGUGAAGUGCUCGGCACUUGUGUAUUUUACAUAUAUUUAAUCUUUAUAAUAACUAACAUAAUAAGUAUUUUGACUUCUUAUAGAUGAGGAAACAUGAUGUUCAGAAAGGUAUAUGACUUGAUCAAGAACCCACAACCAGGCAAUGAGAGGAAUAUGAGGCAAAAUCCAAUCUACUUGAUUCCACAGAGCUCUGAGUAUAGAUGAGGCAAACUUCACAUGGAAAAGAAGCCAUAUUUUGAAAAAACUACACGGAAUCAAAGAGAACUAACUCAAAGAAGCAAAAUUUUGGAGAUAAAACAAGGUAUCUGAUAGCAGUAGUGAUCUCAGGGUGGAUGACCCCCUACUGUUGCUCCUUCUUUUAAAUAAAACUCUUACUUGCAGGAGACAUACUGAAUGUAUUUGACCUUGGUGGCAGCUGGAAUUCAAAAAUCCUGGGUUGUGUUAGUUGACUAAGACAACAUUGUAGUACUGGUAGAGAAUUCUAAAAUCAGAAGAGCUUCAAUCUCUUCUAAUCUAAUUGACUAUGGAGAUUCAGGCAAGUUAUUCUGCCUCUGAGCCAGAUUUAAUUUCCUUAUCUAUAAUGUAAGGAGAAAAUCAAUAACUUUAAUAUUCUCUGAUUCAAAAUGUAAGCAAACAGAGGAAGGUGAUUGGCAACUUAGUUAAUUGGCAGGGUUAUUGGUAAAGAGUGAACACUGGGCAUUAUCCUUAAAGGUUAUGACAUUUGGAUAACCAUCUUGCAUCUUGGUCCAGUAGGCCAGCUACAGUAAUUGCUGUGGGUUAUGCUGAGUCUAGGACUGGAUUCCAAUUAAGCUGUGAUUUUUCACCAGUGCUAACUGUGGAAGGGCAGAUCCAUACAGAGCAUUCCUCAGCUAGGUAGUUUGAAUUAUUCCUAGACAGAUGCCUCCCAUUGAAGAGCACCUGGCAUUUUUACUAAGAGGAGAUCUAGCCAUUCUAGCAACUCUGAUUCACUCUCCUUUUGUUCAUCAUCUAUAUUUCUCCAUGGCUAUCCUUCCAAAGAGAAGCUAUUGCUAUAGUACACCUAACCAGAACAACUUUACCUCAAGGACACAGCUUUAUUAUCUGCUGAGGACCCUGAUCUAAUACUGUCAGGGUAGAGCCUGGUGUUCUGGGGAAAAUUUCAGGUUAUUAAAGCCAGUCCUAAUGGUUGGCUUAGAUAUGGCCUCUGUCUUGAUUUCCCUGCAUAGAACUUCUAUCUUUUAUUAAUUUGGUGCCAGUUGUAUAUUUUAAAGGGAGAGCUGUGGGUCUUGAUUUAAACCUGUAUAUACAUACAAGUACCUUGUUUUGUUAAACUACAUUGUCUUGCUCUUGUCAGUUUUAUCCUUAGAGGUCUGGACGUGCCCCAUCUCUGUACUUGAUUCUGCUGAGAAUACAGAGGUUGACAGUACCAUCAUGGCACACUACUCUGUGUGCACUGACCUAGGGCCUGGCACGCCUCAUAUAGAUACCUCCUAUCCCCUUUGUGCCUGCAUUUGUCUCAACCACAGGCCACAGUAGCUAACAUUCUCAGCUUUUGACCCACUAAUUUUUGGCUUUUGCCCAUCCCCAUUGACUCCCAUGUAGACCCUAUGUUCACCAGAAGGAUCCUCAUGUCUGCAGACUACAUUAAGAGGGAGGAUAUGCCUCUGUGAAUCCAACUGAUAGGUAUCUCCUGUGUGCCAGGGAAUGGCAGGGCCAUGGCUCUCUCAAAGCCAUGCUCAUAAAAAGCCUCCUCUGCAUCGACUUCCAGUCCCAUUUGAUUCUCAAGCAAGGAGUUCCAUCCGAGAAGGAAGCUGUCACCUGUCACUCUUUUAUGAAUUCUUAAGGACAGUGGAAGAGUUGAAAGGUUGGCAAUCACAAUGACAAUAGGCUAUUACAAGCAGGUGAAGAGCCUUCUUCUUUUGCUCCUUACCCCCAACUGCUGUUCAAAUAAUCAAAAAAGGGUCCUCAUUGAAACUGAUUUAAUUCUCAAGAGGAAUGAAAGACAUUUAAAGGGCAAGCCAACUUCAUAAAUGACAUUAAAAGGUUUUAAAAUAGUGUUUUGCUUCUAAAGGGUGUUUGUAAAUGUCAGAGGUAACAUAUUGAUUACAGUCCUGGCAGUUCUUGCUCAGGGCUUCUUAGCUGUCUUUGGCUUAACUCAUGCUGUUGACUUAUGCUCAUGGUAUGAAAUAUCUCAGCCAUCUUACUUUGUUUGCUUAAACUUUUCCAACCUACCAGACUUUAUCCACAUGUGAAUAAAAGGUACCAUCAAAUUAGUGGUGUUUAUAAUUUUUGUGCUUUUUAAUGUCUCGUGAAUUAUAUAAAGUUACGAAAAUGGCUAUAGGAAUUGGCCUACAAACUCUUGAGAUGUCCUAUAAGUUCCUACAAGAUAUUGAAAGUUGGUUGCUUUGAGGAUAUAAUUCUGAAUGUUGAAGCAAAUUAAAAAGCCAACUUGGAAGGGGAUACAUAAUCCUCUUUAAGUCAAGAUGAGGGGUAUAACCUCCCCCAUAUAUUCUGGGCCCAGUCGUCUGUGUUGAAAAGAACUCUGAUAGUUUAUUUGCUGAUACUAUUAAUGGGAGCCAAAAACAUUGUGGAGAAAGGUGAUAUUGUCAUCGUGAAUCUCUCUGAACUCCUGUUCCCAAUUUGUAGCCAGUAAGAGAGCAUGAUUGCUCUGACUACAGGAUUAUACUAAGUCUCUAAGGAAAUGAGAAUAGUGCACAUGUGUACUCUGAUUUAUAGUUUGCAAAGGCCAUUCAAUAAUUGGUAAAGCCGAAACCAAUGAAUUUCCUUCUGAUUUUCAGCACCAUUCAGAAUCUGGACAUAUAAUAUGUUUAUGGCAUUUAACCUAGUCAGACAGUAGAUAUUGCUCUAAGUCAUGGCCUACACCUGUGAGCCUACUUAUAUCAGCAUUUGCCAAAUGUACUUGUAGCUGUGGUACUGACCUCAGAGAACUUAGCCAAAGAGCAAAGACUGCCUAAUUCAAGAAGUACUGGCUGUACAGGAAGCAUAAUGCCAGCAUCUGUUUCUGGUGAGGCCUCAGGAAGCUUUUACUUAUGGUGGAAGGUGAAGGAGGAACAGGUGUCUCACAGGGCAAGAGGAGCAAGAGGGAGCAGGUGGGGAUUGGUGCCACACACUUGUAAACAUCCACAUUUUGUGAGAACUCACUAUCUCAAAAACAGCACCAAGCCAUGAGGAAUCCCUUCCUAUGACCCAAACACCUCCCAUCAGGCCCCACCUCUAAGAUUGAGGAUUAUAUUUCAACAUGAGAUUUGAGCACGGACAAAUAUACAAACUAUAUCAGUACAUAUAAAUGUACUUCCUAUUUUAAUGACAUUACAUGGAUGUGACAUAAUUCUUCAAUCAUAUCCUUGUCAAGGUACAUUUAGAUUUUUUAAAGUUCUCUUUUGUUUCUUUGUUACUAAAAACAGUUCUGUAAAUACCCUUAAACACAAAAUUUAUAUGAUUUUGCAAUUUGGGUAAAAGCCUUACUUUCUUUUGCCCUAAUUUUUUAUUAAGACAUUUCCAAACCUACAGUAAAGUUGAAAAAAAGCAUCAAGAAUGCUCAGAUUACCAAAACAGAUAUAUAGACCAAUGGAAAAGAACAGAGCCCUCAGAAAUAAUACUACACAUCUACAACCAUCCGAUCUUUGACAAACCUGACAAAAACAAGAAAUGGGGAAAGGAGUCCCUAUUUAAUAAACGGUGCUGGGAAAACUGGCUAGCCAUAUGUAGAAAGCUGAAACUGGAUCCCUUCCUUACACCUUGUACAAAAAUUAAUUCAAGAUGGAUUAAAGACUUACAUGUUAGACUUAAAACCAUAAAAAACCCUAGAAGAAAACCUAGGCAAUACCAUUCAGGACAUAGGCAUGGGCAAGGACUUCAUGUCUAAAACACCAAAAGCAAUGGCAACAAAAGACAAAAUUGACAAAUGGGAUCUAAUUAAACUAAAGAGCUUCUGCACAGCAAAACAAACUACCAUCAGGGUGAACAGGCAACCUACAGAAUGGGAGAAAAUUUUUGCAAUCUACUCAUCUGACACAGGGCUAAGAUCCAGAAUCUACAAAGAACUCAGACAAAUUUACAAGAAAAAAACAAACAACCCCAUCAAAAAGUGGGCGAAGGAUAUGAACAGACACUUCUCAAAAGAAGACAUUUAUGCAGCCAAAAGACACAUGAAAAAAUGCUCAUCAUCACUGGCCAUCAGAGAAAUGGAAAUCAAAACCACAAUGAGAUACCAUCUCACACCAGUUAGAAUGGCAAUCAUUAAAAAGUCAGGAAACAACAGGUGCUGGAGAGGAUGUGGAGAAAUAGGAACACUUUUACACUGUUGGUGGGACUGUAAACUAGUUCAACCAUUGUGGAAGACAGUGUGGCAAUUCCUCAGGGAUCUAGAACUAGAAAUACCAUUUGACCCAGCCAUCCUAUUACUGGGUAUAUACCCAAAGGAUUAUAAAUCAUGCUGCUAUAAAGACACAUGCACACAUAUGUAUAUUUUGGCACUAUUCACAAUAGCAAAGACUUGGAACCAACCCAAAUGUCCAUCAAUGAUAGACUGGAUUAAGAAAAUGUGGUACAUAUACAUCAUGGAAUACUAUGCAGCCAUAAAAAAGGAUGAGUUCAUGUCCUUUGUAGGGACAUGGAUGAAGCUGGAAACCAUCAUUCUCAGCAAACUAUGGCAAGGACAAAAAACCAAACACCACAUGUUCUCACCCAUAGGUGGGAAUUGAACAAUGAGAACACUUGGACACAAGAAGGAGAACAUCACACACCGGGGUCUGUUGAGGGGUAGGGGAACGGGGGAGGGAUAGCAUUAGGAGAUAUACCUAAUGUAAAUGAUGAGUUAAUGGGUGCAGUGCACCAAUGUGGCACAUGUAUACAUAUGUAACAAACCUGCACGUUGUGCACAUGUACCCUAGAAAUUAAAGUAUAAUAAAAAAAAAUGCUCAGAUUUCCUUUACCUAGAGUCACUAAUGGUGAUUCAUCCUUUACCACUUUUACUUGCACUCUCUCCUCUUUCUCUGCAUAUAUAUUGAUAUUUUUAUAUAUUGCAGAAUCAUUUGAAUGUAAAUUGAAGAUAUAAUGACAUAUCAUUCCUAAAUAAUUCAGCAUGUAUCACCUAGUAACUAGGCCACUUUCCUACAUAGCUAUAAUACCAUUGGCACAUGCAGGAAAUAAAAUUCACCCAAUAAUGUUAUCUAGUAUACUCAAGCUUUCUCAUAUUUUUUCAAAAACAUUUUUAUAGAUGUUAUAACUGUUGUGAAUAUCAGAUCCAGGCAAAUGCCAUUCACUGCAUUUUGUUGUUAAGUCUUUAAUUCUAUCUCCUUCAAUCUAGCACAGUUAUCUUGGCAUUUCAUGUUGUUGCUGUUGUGACAUUGACUUGUUUGAAAUAUUUGGGUCAUUAUUUUACAGAGUACCCCACAUCUGGACUUGUCUUUUUGUCCCCUCAUGAUUAGAUUCAGGUUAAAGAUUUGUUGCAAAAAAAUAUUGCACAGAUAAUGUUGUGUACUUCCCAUUGCAUCCCAUCAGAAAGCAAUGAGAUUUCAGUUUGUUGGAUAAUGGGUGAUGCUCAGACAAUCACUUAGUUAAGGUUGUCUCUCUCCAGAUCUCUCCAUAGGAGUUUCUAAUUAUGCAUUAUAUUAACAUGUUUAUUUUUAAUAAGUAAUGUAUGGUUACUUUGAAGUUGUAUGACUGUUCUAUUCCCCAACAUUUACCCAGCUUUUUGUUCUUCUAUUGAUGAACACUGCAUGAAUUAAUGAUCAGAUUCCAAUAUUAAAAUGGUGAUUUUGUAAUUCUACCAUUUUUUCAUUGGGUACCACUCAUAGAUUUCCCUCCCCUAUCCCAGUAUAUUGUAAUCCAUCACUGUGCUCAAAGUGUACUAAUUUUGCUGGUGGAGGCACUGUCUUUUGUCUGUAUCCUAUGCUCUGAUACUUUUUUCUUGCUUUCUAGAGAAGAUGUUCCAGGAUUACUUCAUGCUGUCCAGGUCCUAGACAUGGAAUCGUUUGCUUCUUCAAAAGUCUGGAUCCCUUUAAGAUACGAAAUGUAUUUAGAAACCAAAGUAUGGAUGCUAGGUGUGCUCAUGGCCAUUGGAGUGUGUUUCUAGACCCAGGAAUAAGCAAACAAUGGCCUGUAAACUAUAUCCUGUCUGUGGCCUGUUUUUGUACAUCCUAAGAACUAAAAAUUAUUUUAAAAAUUGUAAAUGGGAAAAAGUCAACAACAACAAACAAAUCAACAAAUAACCCCACAAAUAAACAGUUUCUUAAAGACCA